rnacentral:lncRNA from 10 species
UUCUCAAAAGAAGGGAUUUCAGCUUUUCCCCAUUCAGUAUAAUGAAGUUGUAAGUUUGUCAUGUACGGCCUUUGUCAUGUUGAGACCAGCUUAUUCAAGACAGAGGCCUUGUUCAUUCUGUACUCAUCAUUCAAAUCUACUGUGCCACUCUAUAUCUCAAUUAUUGUUGCCAUAUGAGACCAAAGAAAGAACUGCAGAUGCCAAAGCCACUGAAAAGACUAGGAUGCCCUGCUCUCCGCCACCAAAAAAAAAAAAGAAAAAGAAAUAAAAAUAAGACUAAUUCAAAUUAAAUCUACAUUUUUCUGGAUCUUCUAAUAACAGAAUUCUCACUUCUUUUGGUGUCCCUGCCUGGCAAGUAUCCUGACCAUGUACUUAGUCUGCCUAUUAAAAAUUCACACUCUUCAAUUUCACAAGUCCUUGGCAUUUUUCUCUUGGAUUCACAAUAAAACAAAUGCCAGAUCAAGGACAUCCAUCCAAUAAUUUAGUAGGUGGUAAUCUAAUUGAAUGGUGCAGUUAGAGAUUAGCUUUAAAGCUUAAAUUAUGCAGCAAAGACAUUAUUAUUACUUAAGGCUUCAUCUUAAUAAAAGAAGGAUUUGGAGAGCUAGUAGAGAUUUUUGGAGGCUGAAGCUGUUCUCUCAAGCCAUCUGUCAGUGCUGCCACUUUGUGAUGGUUAAUAUCGAGUGUCAACUUGAUUGGAUUGAAGGAUGCAACAUAUUGUUCCCGGGUGUGUCUGUGAAGGUGUUGCCAAAGGAGAUUAACAUUUUAGUCUAUGGACUCGGAGAGGCAGAAUCACCCUCAAUCUGAGUGGGCAUCAUUUAAUCAGCUGCCAGAGUGUCUAGAACAAAGGAGGUAGGAGAAGAUGAAACAGCAGACUUGCUGAGUCUUCCAGCCUUUAUCUUUCUCCCGUGCUGGAUGCUUCUGGCCCUUGAACAUCAGACUCCAGGUUCUUCAGCUUUUGGACUCUAGGACUUACAUCAGUGAUUUGCAAAGGACUCUUGGACCUUUGGCCACAGACUGAAGGCUGCACUGUUGGUUUCUCUACUUUUGAGGUUUUGAGACACGGACUGAUACACCACUGGCUUCCUUUCUCCUCAACUUGCAGACAGCUUAUCAUAGGAUUUUACCUUAUGAUUUUGUAAGUCAAUUUUCUUUAAUAAACUCAUAUAUAUAUAUCCUACUAGUUAUGUCCCUCUAGAGAACCCUGACUGACAUACAGUUUGUGUGGAGAUACACACACACACACACACACACACACACACACACACACACACACACACAAAUGUAUUGCUGGCUGAUCUACUUACCCCUAGCUGUCCUCAUUUUUUUUUUUUUUUUGAGUUGGAGUCUCGCUCUGUCGCCCAAGCUGGAGUGCAGUGGCUGCAUCUUGGCUCACUGCAAGCUCCGCCUCCU